AACGAACGCUGGCGGCAGGCCUAACACAUGCAAGUCGAGCGAGGACUUCGGUUCUAGCGGCGGACGGGUGAGUAACGCGUGGGAAUGUGCCCUUCUCUACGGAAUAGCCCUGGGAAACUGGGAGUAAUACCGUAUACGCCCUUUUGGGGAAAGAUUUAUCGGAGAAGGAUCAGCCCGCGUUGGAUUAGGUAGUUGGUGGGGUAAUGGCCUACCAAGCCGACGAUCCAUAGCUGGUUUGAGAGGAUGAUCAGCCACACUGGGACUGAGACACGGCCCAGACUCCUACGCGAGGCAGCAGUGGGGAAUCGUAGACAAUGGGGGCAACCCUGAUCUAGCCAUGCCGCGUGAGUGAUGAAGGCCGUAGGGUUGUAAAGCUCUUUCAGCUGGGAAGAUAAUGACGGUACCAGCAGAAGAAGCCCCGGCUAACUCCGUG
rnacentral:rRNA from 1 species